rnacentral:rRNA from 1 species
UACGUAGGGUGCAAGCGUUGUCCGGAAUUAUUGGGCGUAAAGAGCGUGUAGGCGGCUCGAUUAGUCCGCUGUGAAAGUCCAGGGCUCAACCCUGGAAUGCCGGUGGAUACUGUCGAGCUAGAGUCCGGAAGGGGCGAGUGGAAUUCCUGGUGUAGCGGUGAAAUGCGUAGAUAUCUGGAGGAACACCGGUGGCGAAGGCGACAUCCUGGACCGGCAUUGACGCUGAGGCACGGAAGGCCAGGGGAGCAAACGGG